GAGGCCGACAGGCGUAGGCGAUGGAUAACAGGUUGAUAUUCCUGUACCACCUAGUAUCGUUUUAAUCGAUGGGGGGACGCAGUAGGAUAGGCGAAGCGUGCUGUUGGAGUGCACGUCCAAGCAGUAAGGCUGAGUGUUAGGCAAAUCCGGCACUCAUAAGGCUGAGCUGUGAUGGGGAGAGGAAAUUGUUUCCUCGAGUCGUUGAUUUCACACUGCCGAGAAAAGCCUCUAGAUAGAUAACAG
rnacentral:rRNA from 1 species